GAUGAACGCUGGCGGCGUGCCUAAUACAUGCAAGUCGAGCGAACGGACGAGAAGCUUGCUUCUCUGAUGUUAGCGGCGGACGGGUGAGUAACACGUGGAUAACCUACCUAUAAGACUGUGAUAACUUCGGGAAACCGGAGCUAAUACCGGAUAAUAUUUUGAACCGCAUGGUUCAAAAGUUAAAGACGGUCUUGCUGUCACUUAUAGAUGGAUCCGCGCUGCAUUAGCUAGUUGGUAAGGUAACGGCUUACCAAGGCAACGAUGCAUAGCCGACCUGAGAGGGUGAUCGGCCACACUGGAACUGAGACAAGGUCCAGACUCCUACGGGAGGCAGCAGUAGGGAAUCUUCCGCAAUGGGAGAAAGCCUGACGGAGCAACGCCGCGUGAGUGAUGAAGGUCUUCGGAUCGUAAAACUCUGUUAUUAGGGAAGAACAUAUGUGUAAGUAACUGUGCACAUCUUGACGGUACCUAAUCAGAAAGCCACGGCUAACUACGUG
rnacentral:rRNA from 1 species